GACGAACGCUGGCGGCGUGCUUAACACAUGCAAGUCGAACGGAAAGGCCCUGCUUUUGUGGGGUGCUCGAGUGGCGAACGGGUGAGUAACACGUGAGUAACCUGCCCUUGACUUUGGGAUAACUUCAGGAAACUGGGGCUAAUACCGGAUAGGAGCUCCUGCUGCAUGGUGGGGGUUGGAAAGUUUCGGCGGUUGGGGAUGGACUCGCGGCUUAUCAGCUUGUUGGUGGGGUAGUGGCUUACCAAGGCUUUGACGGGUAGCCGGCCUGAGAGGGUGACCGGGCACAUUGGGGCUGAGAUACGGGCCAGAAUCCUACGGGAGGCAACAGUGGGGAAUAUUGCACAAUGGGCGGAAGCCUGAUGCAGCAACGCCGCGUGCGGGAUGACGGCCUUCGGGUUGUAAACCGCUUUCGCCUGUGACGAAGCGUGAGUGACGGUAAUGGGUAAAGAAGCACCGGCUAACUACGUG
rnacentral:rRNA from 1 species